UUCCGGUUGAUCCUGCCGGAGGCGACCGCUAUUGGAGUUCGAUUAAGCCAUGCGAGUCUAGAGGCUUAGGCCUCGGCGUACCGCUCAGUAACACGUGGAUAACCUGCCCUGUUCAGGGGGAUAACCUCGCGAAAGUGAGAAUAAUACCCCAUAGUUCACCAUGCCUGGAACGGUUGGUGGAUGAAAGCUCUGGCGGAACAGGAUGGGUCUGCGGCGUAUCAGGUAGUAGGGGGUGUAAUGGACCUCCUAGCCCUCGACGCGUACGGGUUGUGGGAGCAAUCGCCCGGAGAUGGAUUCUGAGACACGAAUCCAGACCCUACGGGGUGCAGCAGGCGCGAAAACUUGACAAUGCGAGAAAUCGUGAUCAGGGAACUCCAAUUGUCCCCGUUUUUACGGGGUUCUGAAUUGACUCUAAACAGGUCGAGUAAUAGGGGCGGGAAAUAUCGGUGCCAGCCGCCGCGGUAAUACCAAAGCCCCAAGUGGUCGUCGUUCUUAUUGGGCCUAAAACGUCCGUAGCCGGUUUGGUACAUUCGUGGGUAAAUCAGACAGCUUAACUGUCUGAAUUCUGCGAGCACGGCCAAACUUGAGACCGGGAGAGGUGUAGGGUACCUGCGGGGUAGGGGUAAAACCCUGUCAUCCCGUAGGGACCACCAGUUGCGAAGGCUCUACACUAGAACGGAUCUGACGGUCAGGGACGAAGCCUAGGGGCACGAACCGGAUUAGAUACCCGGGUAGUCCUAGGUGUAAACGCUGUGGACUUUGUGUCGGGAAUUCUUCGAGGAUUCUCGGUGCCGGAGUGAAGAUGUUAAGUCCACUGCCUGGGGAGUACGGUCGCAAGGCUGAGACUUAAAGGAAUUGGCGGGGGAGCACUGCAACGAGAGGAGCGUGCGGUUUAAUUGGAAUCAACGCCGGA
rnacentral:rRNA from 1 species